GGUCUAUGUAUUUUUAUAAUUUAAUGUUUAAUAAGUAAUUAGUUUUAUAACAUAUAUUAAUGUCAAAACAUUUUUAAAUAAUAGAAAACCGAUGAACAAUUAAUACUGAGCAGAAAGAAAUAUUUAAUGAGCCAGAUAUGGUAGGAAUUCUCAAAAACAGACCGAUAAACUGGGCCAGACAUGUCUAAAGAGUAGAGGACCAACAAUUAUGCGAGAUCACAACAUGGAAACCAGAUAGAGACUGAGAGAGAGAUCAAGACAUUGGUGAAUUGAUCAAGUCAGGGAGAACCUCAAGCCUCUGGAAAUAAGGGAUGGAGACAACUGACUU